rnacentral:rRNA from 1 species
AUUGAACGCUGGCGGCAGGCCUAACACAUGCAAGUCGAGCGGAUGAAGGGAGCUUGCUCCUGGAUUCAGCGGCGGACGGGUGAGUAAUGCCUAGGAAUCUGCCUGGUAGUGGGGGAUAACGUCCGGAAACGGGCGCUAAUACCGCAUACGUCCUGAGGGAGAAAGUGGGGGAUCUUCGGACCUCACGCUAUCAGAUGAGCCUAGGUCGGAUUAGCUAGUUGGUGGGGUAAAGGCCUACCAAGGCGACGAUCCGUAACUGGUCUGAGAGGAUGAUCAGUCACACUGGAACUGAGACACGGUACAGACUCCUACGGGAGGCGGAAGUGGGGAAUAUUGGCAAAUGGGCGGAAUCCUGAUCCAGCCAUGCCGGGUGUGUGAAGAAGGUCUUCGGAUUGUAAAGCACUUUAAGUUGGGAGGAAGGGCAGUAAGUUAAUACCUUGCUGUUUUGACGUUACCAACAGAAUAAGCACCGGCUAACUUCGUG